rnacentral:lncRNA from 1 species
GCCCAUCUCCCAUUUCUUGAGGAGCAUCAGUGUCUGGUUCAAUCACACCUUCUUUAUCAAUUUCUAGAUCACUUUCCUCACUUGAUGGUUCGUCUGCCUUUAAGUCUUCCUCCACCUUCUUACUGUCAGGUUUUUCUUCCUUGGUAUUUUCUUCUGAUUUAGCUUUCUGAGUAGCAGGUGGUACUUUACCUCCCAUGCUCUCCACCCACUCC